ensembl:lncRNA
CGUGAGGAACGGGACAGAAAUGUGAACAAGAGUGAAAAAAAAACCACAAGAAUAUAAACGAGUGUCUUAUAAUAAAGCAGAUUAACAGUGAAUAGUUAUAAUAGUAUAUUUGAAGAUCAGUUCUAGCAGAGAACCAUGCAGGAUAUUAAAAAAAAAAUGAAUAAAUAAAAAUACAACCAGUGUGUUAGAGGGAAAGACGGAAUGCGUUUGGGAAGAAGAGAGACACGGCAGGCUGCAGAGGCAGGAUUUCUCCUGAAAAGUGGAAAACAAAGCUGUGAUAAUACCUUGAAACUGGUGGAGCUCCACGCAGAUCAGGACGCAGCUGCUUACUACUGUAUACGCUCACCGACGUCAGGCAGAAUAGCGCUGCUAAUUGCUGCAUCUGCAGAGGUGCUGGUCUAGACGCUGUUGAGGAACCCCAUCUUGGACACUUCUCCUUGAAAAAAAUCUGGUAACCUUGGAGGUGUGAUGUGAUUUGACUGUACUAUAGAACCCAGAAAAUCAACUUAAGCAGCUGUGUAACCCAACUCUGAAUACAAGGUACGUUCCCUAUGUUUCAGACUCGGAAUAUGUCCCUACAUGUCAGCAUGGCAUUGUGUGAUUUUCUUGCUGCUUAUUUAAUAUUCUUCCCACACGCGUUACAACUGGCCAGCCCUUACAUACUCAGCAGUGUGUUUUUCUCAGACCAGACAAAGCGAGCAUGAUAAAUUGGACAAUAAACGCUUUAAUACAAUACAAGAGACACGAAUGGAAGGUGGCUGGUUUGUGAAGAUGAGCUCAGUGAGAACAGACAGCAGCAUUAUUACCACAGUCACACUCACACUUGCCUGACAUCUCAUCUUCUCAACUUCUCAUCUCUGUGAUCAGAGUUAUGGAUCAGGACAAGUUCCCACAGCAGGUUCUCCAGCAGAACAAAGUGAUCAAAGUGCUAUUUUCAGUUAUUGCUCCCUGAUUAGCUCCCAUGGGUAUCUUUUAUUAAGGUUUAUCAGUAAGAUUUGAAGUAAAAAUGCUCACGUGUUCCUCAAAGGUUCUCUAGACAGUUACUUUUUUGAAAAUCUUAGAACAAGGAUUCUUUGAAUGGGUAUUGGUCCAACACUUACUGGUUUAGCACUCUAAGCGUUCUUUUCAGAAUCCCUACCAAUUUACAAUCAGAAUGAUUUGAUUCAACAUAUACAUUUACAUGUAUUAGCAAGUUUUCUUGGUGUUUGGUCACAACAUGAUACAUUCAACCCAGUUUACAAAACACAUAUCUGAGACAACACGACACACAACACAAUUACCAUUCUGAUAUCCAAAUAUUGCAUCUUAAGCAGAAACUUGUGGUCUCAGUUGUAAUUUAUAGUACAGUUCAGGUAGAAAUAGCAGCUGAUUGCAGUUCAAAGUGCAUUAAACAGAGUGGAACAAUUGUGUUAUAUAAUAUAAAAUAAUAGCAUAUA